UACGUAGGGUGCGAGCGUUGCCCGGAUUUAUUGGGCGUAAAGGGCGCGUAGGCGGCUCUGCACGUCCGUUGUGAAAUCGCCCGGCUCAACUGGGCGGGGUCAGCGGAUACGGCGGAGCUUGAGCAAGCUAGGGGGCAAUGGAAUUCCCGGUGUAGUGGUGGAAUGCGUAGAUAUCGGGAGGAACACCAGUGGCGAAAGCGGCGCACUGGACCACAACUGACGCUGAGGCGCGAAAGCUAGGGGAGCAAACAGG
rnacentral:rRNA from 1 species